rnacentral:lncRNA from 1 species
AAUAUGUCAUCCCAUUACCUCUGGUCCCCAUGCUUUUUUAACAAAGAUUGAGAUCUUAAGAUUAUCAAGGAUAUGCUGUAGGUAGCAAGUCCUUUUCUCCUGAUGCUUUCCAAAUUCUUUUGUCUUCAUCUUUGAACAACUUGACUAUAGUAUAUCUUGGUGGGAUCUCUUUGUCCUGCUUAGAGUAUGUUGAACUGUUUGGGGAUGUAUAUUCAGGUUUUUCUUUUUUUAGGGAAGUUGGGCUAUUACUUCUUCAUAUAUUAUUUCUGCCUCUUUCUUUUCUCCUUCUGAUAUGAUGCAAACCCUCAUUAUUCCUCUGGCUCCAAGAUGCUGCACCAGGAAUUCUUGCCACCUAAUAUCUGCCUGUAACAGGCUGCAGCAGAAGCAUUGUAGCUGCUGGAGAUUAAAAGCUGAAUUGGACCAAAGUGUACUGAAUUUACCAUAGACUUCUCCCCUGGUUGCUACAAAGUGUUCUACUUAGACCUAGAGUUCCAAACACCAUUCCUGCUAAUUUAAUUGUUUAAGGCACAGUAUUAUGGUUUAGAUUAGAGGCCUCAAAAAAAUCAAUGCAAGAAAGUUUAGAAAUAAAGUGACUGGGUUAUGAAAGCCUUAACUCAAUCAGUGAAUUAACUUCCUGAUAGGGAUUAACUUGGUGGUAACUGUAAGCAGGCAGAGCAUGGCUGGAGGAGGCAGAUCACUGGGGGUGUGCCCUUGGGUUUAUAUUUUGUCCUGGUGGGGAGAGAGCUCUCUUUUUCUCUCUCCCUUUCUCUCUCUGUUUCCUGGUUGUUAUGUCCUGAACCGCCUUCUUCCAUCACAUUCUUCCACUAUGAUAUUCUGCCUCACUUCAAGCCCCAAAGAAUGGAGACAUCCUUCUAUGGACCAAGACCUCUGAAACUGUGAACCCCAAAAUAAACUUUUCCUCCUCUAAAUUUGUUCUUGUUGGGUCUUUUGGUCACAGCAAUGAAAAAUCUGAUUAGAACACAGAUUCCUGGAAGUUUUUACUCUGCCACUCCAAUAAUAGCUAAUAUUUACUGAGCAUUUAUUCUGUGCCAAGUGUUGCUCUAAGUACUUUUCAUUUUUAUUCUGGUCUUCUGAGGGAGUGUAUUGUUAGAUCCCCACUUUACAAAAGAGGAGAAAUGAAAGAUGAACAAUGUGUCUAAUCAGAGAAA